UUGCUGUGAUGUUUAUUAGAAUAUAUUGAAAGCUUUGUAAAUUCUUAAUGAAGCAUUGACUAUCAUGCUGAUCUGAGCAGUCACCUGAGCAG